UGUUUUAUUGUGAUUUAUUUAACCGUUUCGGUGCUCUGCGCGAGUAUACUCGUCAAGUAUACACGCAAGCUGCGCGGCGAAAAGGUUAAAUAAUUUGUUCAUAUUUAUUUAGUAAUUUAUUUAAAUAAUUAAAAACACAUAAUUGUAUAUAAUUUUAUGAUAUAAUAUUGAUAAUUGACUACUUACAUUACGACAAGUAGAUUUCUAAAAACUUUUGUUUAAUUGUUUUCUCUUACAGAUAGAUACAAUUACUAACAAUGAAAUACUAAUUGAAUUAAUUAACGACAAACAUGCAGGUAGCAGUAAGUGUGAUCUAAACAUCACAGAUAAUAAUUUAGAACAUGUGUUUAUUAGUGAGGAUAUGUCUAUUAGUGAGAAUAUGUCUAUUAGUCAGGAUACAUCAGGAAAUAACUUAGACAUAAGCACACAUGAAAUAGUUUCAUUAGGUCCAGAUAGGAUUUAUAUAUGCACAUAACCAACACAAUCAAACGAAAUAAAAUCUAAAAAUAAUUCAGAUGUAGUAGAACAAUCAGACAUGUUAUCAUACGACGUGAUAAUUGAUAAGAGUCAGGUAACCGAUGAAAAUGCAUGUCCAAAUAAACAUGAUACUAAUAAUACAUCCAUUGCUACACUCUUUCAAGAAGUGCUAUUCUGGCCAGAAGAAAAUUUGGGUCAUAAAACAAAAAUAAAAAAGGAAAAGGAGCAACAAACAGAAGAAAGAAGGCAAUUAAAAUUACAGAACAUAAAAAUAAAAAAAUGAACAAAAGGAGGAGAGAGUUAAAUUAAAAAAGCUUAAAAAUGAAGAGAAAGCUAGACUAAAGAAAGAGAAAGAAGAAGAAAAGGCUACAAUGAAGAAAGAGAAAGAAGAAGAAAGGGCUAGAAUGAAGAAAGAGAAAGAAGAAGAAAAAGCUAAAAUAAAAGAACAGAAAUAAGUUGCUCUAAAAAAGGACCGAGAAAAAUUAACUAAAAAAGAUACUUAGUAUUUUAUAUUAUAUUGUUGUAUUAUUUGUAGUAUAUUUUGUAUUUCGUAUUAUAAAUAAAAGGCAUUUUUAUAUUUUAA